AAUUUUGAAAAUGGAGAUGACAAAUAAACAUAACCCAACCACAGCCAUGCCAACAUGUAGAAGGUGCAAGUAGUUGAUACAUAAAUCAAUGGAGGGUCAAUGAGAAAGAAAGAAAGAGCAUGAGGGUGUCAAUCAUACAUGACAUGGAGCCCAUGCAUUGCCCUCUAACCUUCAUUUUAAUUUAUGGCAACCCAACUAGUUAGCCAAUUCUAUUAUUUGUAGAGCUUUGAUUACUUUCUUGGUGUAGAAGAUGGUCUCUCAGGCGGAGGUGGUUUGUUAGCAAUGGGAGGCGGGGGAGGGCUCUGCAUCUCUCUGAAAAUUCUCCUUCCAUGGGGAUCUGCAAAAGCUAGAAGAAAGGUUGAGAGAUCAAAAGUUUAGGCAUGCAAUAAGCUGCUAGAUAUUAACAUAUAUAUGAGAAAAAUGAUACCAACCUGACAUGCCCUGGGCCACAUGAAUUGUGAAGAUUGAAGCAAUCAAGAUGACUAGAAUCAUCCAACGAAAGAAAGAAGCUAGACCCAUGUUGACUCUUGAAUCGAAUUGCCUCUGACUGAUCU
rnacentral:lncRNA from 1 species